ACGAACGCUGGCGGCAUGCCUAACACAUGCAAGUCGAACGAGACCCCUGUCUUCGGAUGGCGGGUCUAGUGGCGCACGGGUGCGUAACGCGUGGGAAUCUACCCUUGGGUUCGGAAUAACAGUUGGAAACGACUGCUAAUACCGGAUGAUGACUUCGGUCCAAAGAUUUAUCGCCCAGGGAUGAGCCCGCGUAGGAUUAGCUUGUUGGUGAGGUAAAGGCUCACCAAGGCGACGAUCCCUAGCUGGUCUGAGAGGAUGAUCAGCCACACUGGGACUGAGACACGGCCCAGACUCCUACGGGAGGCAGCAGUGGGGAAUAUUGGACAAUGGGGGAAACCCUGAUCCAGCCAUGCCGCGUGAGUGAUGAAGGCCUUCGGGUUGUAAAGCUCUUUCGGCGGGGACGAUAAUGACGGUACCCGCAGAAGAAGCCCCGGCUAACUUCGUGCCAGCCGCCGCGGUAAU
rnacentral:rRNA from 1 species